rnacentral:lncRNA from 1 species
ACAAAAACAAAAGCAUGCUAUUUAUUUUUCUUUUUUUUUUUAAUCCAAUAUACAUAUUUUUAUGUAGUAGACUAUAGUACACCACGAUAUAUUAUAGUAUAGUACUAUUGUAUACUAUGGUGUACUAUGUUUUACUAUGAAGUACUAUCAAACCCUAGCCGGCAAUAACUCACAGCCGUCGUCACCAACCCUAGCAGCCAAACGCAACUGCCGCCAAACUCUAGCGUUCAAAUCAAGCAAAAUCUCUUAAAAGAUAAUCCGAUGCAAUUAGUCAAAUUUUUUUUUUUUUUAUAACAUAAAAAAAAAAAAAAAGCUUUCAAUAACAUUCGAUUCUUCCAUUCACAGCGCCAGAAACUCGUAGAUAACUAGAAUCAUUUCCAAAACCCUACUUUUGCAAUUUAACCCUAGCACCGCUAGCAAACGUGUAUCAGCCGUCGUCGAGCCGUCCUUGCCGUAUACGCAACUAAACGCACACAUACCAUGAAUUCAUCAUAACCAGCCCUAGCAACCGUUAAAAAAAAAAAAAUACAUUUGCAGGCCACAUCUCGCCAACCCUUCCGUGAUGCAAUCGCCACUUCCCCGGCCAAGGCGAGUCAGGGACAUCGGCCCGCCGGCACAAGGGCGUCUGAAUUGGCAACCAUCGUCCGUUGUAGAUAUGUUGUUCCGCUGUAGAUUUUUAAAACCUCAGAUCUGAAAAUUAAAAAGAAAGA